CAGCCGCCGCGGGAAAACAGAGGGUGCGAGCGUUAAUCGGAUUUACUGGGCGUAAAGCGUGCGUAGGCGGCUUCUUAAGUCGGAUGUGAAAUCCCUGAGCUUAACUUAGGAAUUGCAUUCGAUACUGGGAAGCUAGAGUAUGGGAGAGGAUGGUAGAAUUCCAGGUGUAGCGGUGAAAUGCGUAGAGAUCUGGAGGAAUACCGAUGGCGAAGGCAGCCAUCUGGCCUAAUACUGACGCUGAGGUACGAAAGCAUGGGGAGCAAACAGGAUUAGAGACCCCAGUAGUCCCUGUCUCUUAUAC
rnacentral:rRNA from 1 species